UCCAUCUCUCUCUUCUCUCACGCAUCUCUCUCUCACUCUCAAAAUCCUUCUCCAAGAAGCAAGAUGAAGAACACUAGUCAUCUCCUUCUUUCUUAAAAACUUGGUAAGGUUCCUUUUUCUCUUCUCCAUUUCUUUCUCCAUUAGGAUGGAUUGUGAUGUUAUUUUGUGUGGGUUUGUUGUGGUUUGAGGAAAGGGUUUGAUGUUAUGGUGGUGUUUUUGGCUUGAGAAAAGAAAAGGAGGGUUUAGAAGAGAAGAUUAAGAGAUGGAUUUUUGGAGCUUUAGCUAUGGAGGAUUUGAAGGAAGUGACUCGUUUUGAGAGCGCGAUGUAGAGCUAGUUGUCAUUGGAGUUGUCUCUUGGUUUAAACGGAUUAGUUUACAAUCCAAAUUGUUGUAUUAUAGUUGAAUUUUAAUCUAGAUAGAAAAUUGUUGUAAUAUAGAUUGUAGUUAGAAUGCUGGUAGCCUUUGCGUUUGGGUUUAGUGAGUUGGCCCGAGCGUGGCAUAACAACCCUGUGGUUAUAGUUUGGUUUUGCUUCCGCAUUUAUUUUCAAUAUGGUUAGUAAGAAAGAUAGUUUGUUUUGGCGUAUUCAAGCUUAUAAAAUUUGGGGGUGUUACACACGGUCUC